rnacentral:rRNA from 1 species
UCCUACGGGAGGCAGCAGUGGGGAAUAAAGGACAAUGGGGGCAACCCUGAUCCAGCCAUGCCGCGUGUGUGAAGAAGGCCCUCGGGUUGUAAAGCACUUUCAGCGAGGAAGAACGCCUAGCGGUUAAUACCCGCUAGGAAAGACAUCACUCGCAGAAGAAGCACCGGCUAACUCCGUGCCAGCAGCCGCGGUAAUACGGAGGGUGCAAGCGUUAAUCGGAAUUACUGGGCGUAAAGCGCGCGUAGGUGGCUUGAUAAGCUGGUUGUGAAAGCCCCGGGCUCAACCUGGGAACGGCAUCCGGAACUGUCAAGCUAGAGUGCAGGAGAGGAAGGUAGAAUUCCCGGUGUAGCGGUGAAAUGCGUAGAGAUCGGGAGGAAUACCAGAGGUGAAGGCGGCCUUCUGGACUGACUCUGACGGGGGGGGUGCGAAAGCGUGGGUAGCAAACAGGAUUAGAUACCCUGGUAGUCCACGCCGUAAAGGAUGGGGGACGAGCCGUUGGGUGCCUAGCGUACUUUGUGGCGAAGUUAACGCGAUAAGUCGACCGCCUGGGGGAGUACGGCCGCAAGGUUAAAACUCAAAUGAAUUGACGG